UACAGAGGUCUCAAGCGUUGUUCGGAUUCAUUGGGCGUAAAGGGCGCGUAGGCUGCGGGGCAAGUCGGGUGUGAAAUCUCAGAGCUCAACUCUGAGACUGCACUCGAUACUGCUUUGCUUGAGGACUGGAGAGGAGAUUGGAAUUCACGGUGUAGCAGUGAAAUGCGUAGAUAUCGUGAGGAAGACCAGUGGCGAAGGCGGAUCUCUGGACAGUUCCUGACGCUGAGGCGCGAAGGCCAGGGGAGCAAACGGG
rnacentral:rRNA from 1 species